rnacentral:tRNA from 1 species
GGUUGUGGCUUAGUGGUAGAGCACUUGCUUAGCAUGUGCAAGGCCCUGGGUUUGAUCCUCAGGACCA